UGCAAGUCGAGCGGAGAGAGGUAGCUUGCUACUGAUCUUAGCGGCGGACGGGUGAGUAAUGCUUAGGAAUCUGCCUAUUAGUGGGGGACAACAUUUCGAAAGGAAUGCUAAUACCGCAUACGUCCUACGGGAGAAAGCAGGGGAUCUUCGGACCUUGCGCUAAUAGAUGAGCCUAAGUCGGAUUAGCUAGUUGGUGGGGUAAAGGCCUACCAAGGCGACGAUCUGUAGCGGGUCUGAGAGGAUGAUCCGCCACACUGGGACUGAGACACGGCCCAGACUCCUACGGGAGGCAGCAGUGGGGAAUAUUGGACAAUGGGCGGAAGCCUGAUCCAGCCAUGCCGCGUGUGUGAAGAAGGCCUUAUGGUUGUAAAGCACUUUAAGCGAGGAGGAGGCUACUUUAGUUAAUACCUAGAGAUAGUGGACGUUACUCGCAGAAUAAGCACCGGCUAACUCUGUGCCAGCAGCCGCGGUAAUACAGAGGGUGCAAGUGUUAAUCGGAUUUACUGGGCGUAAAGCGCGCGUAGGCGGCUAAUUAAGUCAAAUGUGAAAUCCCCGAGCUUAACUUGGGAAUUGCAUUCGAUACUGGUUAGCUAGAGUGUGGGAGAGGAUGGUAGAAUUCCAGGUGUAGCGGUGAAAUGCGUAGAGAUCUGGAGGAAUACCGAUGGCGAAGGCAGCCAUCUGGCCUAACACUGACGCUGAGGUGCG
rnacentral:rRNA from 1 species